CCUACGGGUGGCAGCAGUGGGGAAUAUUGGACAAUGGGGGGAACCCUGAUCCAGCGACGCCGCGUGAGUGAAGAAGUAUUUCGGUAUGUAAAGCUCUAUCAGCAGGGAAGAAAGAAAUGACGGUACCUGACUAAGAAGCCCCGGCUAACUACGUGCCAGCAGCCGCGGUAAUACGUAGGGGGCAAGCGUUAUCCGGAUUUACUGGGUGUAAAGGGAGCGUAGACGGCGAUGCAAGCCAGGAGUGAAAGCCCGGGGCCCAACCCCGGGACUGCUCUUGGAACUGCAUGGCUGGAGUACAGGAGGGGCAGGCGGAAUUCCUAGUGUAGCGGUGAAAUGCGUAGAUAUUAGGAGGAACACCAGUGGCGAAGGCGGCUUACUGGACUGUAACUGACGUUGAGGCUCGAAAGCGUGGGGAGCAAACAGGAUUAGAUACCCGAGUAGUC
rnacentral:rRNA from 1 species